UUCGGCCUGCUCAGGCUGCCUGUUACACAAAAAUCUGACUUCCGUGUUAGCCGGCUGCAGCUGCAGUUUCCUGUCUGUUAACCCUGUAGGACUUGGUUCUUUUUAAGAUACAAUACAGGCCCUAAAAAAGACGUACAUUUGUCUAUGUGGCAAGUUAUCCGUCUGGUCUACCAAAACAGCUUCUGGGAUGUUUUUGCUUUACCUUUUAUCUUAUAGUAAAAUUCUGCAAUUGAAACAAAAUGAGAAAGCGGCAUGUUCAAAAGGCUUUGUGGCCAGAUGCAUGCAUGAACAACAUCUUUGAAUACUUCUCAUUUACAUUACUUGUUCUGGAUCACAAUGGUCACUGUCUACAGCCCAAUACAUUCUCAGUUACCCGAAAAGCAGCUGUGAGGCGUAUGCGGAUAUACUGCAUGUCGGACCUAAACCAUACCCCACUGUGCAGCUGAACAGCACCAGUGAAGCAAGUGGAUUUAUCCUGCCUGCUGUGCGAUAACAUGGCAAUGGGUCCAACUCACUGCACGUGCAAGGUCUGUGGCCAUGGGAAUGUCUAUACCCUGCAUAAGAACAAGGUCCAAAGUACUGAAAGAAGUUUGUGUUUCACCAAAGGAUUCGAAUGCCCAGGUGUGAGACAUCCUGCCUGUAGCACUUACUUGGACAUGACGGUCCUUCCCAAGAAGAAAGUCACUAGUGUUAAGGGAAAAAUUAUUCAGGACAAGGUCUAGGAAGCACUAAAAGCUAAUCUUACUACUGCAGUUUCUCUUCUGAUUUUGUCACUUUCAGGAAUCACUUGGUUAACAGUACUGUGAUAAGUGACUUUUUGGCUGGUUUGGGUUCUUUUUCAAAAAAAGCUGAUUAUCUCACAGAAGAUUCCACCUGCUGAAGCUCAUAUCAAACAUGUGAAGUGAUGGAAUUACAAACAUGCUGCUAUUACAAUGGUUUUCCCUCUCCUAGGCUUAUGUCUUAUCACAACCCACUGCAGAUUUAGGUUAUGUCACUUUCACUUUUGAUCUCUUUCCUGCCCCUUCACACACUAUAUAUACAGUUUUGCUUUAGCUUUAAGGCUCUGCAUAGUCACACCUUUCUCUUCCCUAUCUGCUAUUCCGAUUGCUAUAUUCAUCUGAUUUUUGUGGUUUGCCUCUCACCAGCAUUAAGUCCUUCUUUCUUUUUUCACCACAAACGUGCAGUACAAUCACAUUCACAAAGGCUUAACUCAC